UACGGAGGGUGCAAGCAUUAAUCGGAAUUAUUGGGCGUAAAGGGCGCGUAGGCGGAUGGAUAAGAUAUAUGUGAAAUACCGGGGCUCAACCUCGGUGCUGCAUGUAAGACUGUCUAUCUAGAGGUAUGGUGGGGAAAACGGAAUUCCACGUGUAGCGGUGAAAUGCGUAGAUAUGUGGAAGAACACCUGUGGCGAAAGCGGUUUUCUAACUUAAACCUGACGCUGAGGCGCGAGAGCAAGGGGAGCAAACAGG
rnacentral:rRNA from 1 species